rnacentral:rRNA from 1 species
AUUGAACGCUGGCGGCAGGCCUAACACAUGCAAGUCGAACGGUAACAGGAAGAAGCUUGCUUCUUUGCUGACGAGUGGCGGACGGGUGAGUAAUGUCUGGGAAACUGCCUGAUGGAGGGGAUAACUACUGGAAACGGUAGCUAAUACCGCAUAAUGUCGCAAGACCAAAGAGGGGGACCUUCGGGCCUCUUGCCAUCGGAUGUGCCCAGAUGGGAUUAGCUAGUAGGUGGGGUAACGGCUCACCUAGGCGACGAUCCCUAGCUGGUCUGAGAGGAUGACCAGCCACACUGGAACUGAGACACGGUCCAGACUCCUACGGGAGGCAGCAGUGGGGAAUAUUGCACAAUGGGCGCAAGCCUGAUGCAGCUAUGCCGCGUGUAUGAAGAAGGCCUUCGGGUUGUAAAGUACUUUCAGCGGGGAGGAAGGGAGUAAAGUUAAUACCUUUGCUCAUUGACGUUACCCGCAGAAGAAGCACCGGCUAACUCCGUG